rnacentral:rRNA from 1 species
UACAGAGGGUGCGAGCGUUAAUCGGAGUUACUGGGCGUAAAGGGCGCGUAGGCGGUGCUAUAAGAUUGAUGUGAAAUCCCUGGGCUUAACCUAGGAACUGCAUCGAUGACUGUAGUACUGGAGUACUGUAGAGGGUAGUGGAAUUUCCGGUGUAGCGGUGAAAUGCGUAGAGAUCGGAAGGAACACCAGUGGCGAAGGCGGCUACCUGGACAGAUACUGACGCUGAGGCGCGAGAGCGUGGGGAGCAAACAGG